GUAGGGUGCGAGCGUUAAUCGGAAUUACUGGGCGUAAAGCGAGCGCAGACGGUUAAAUAAGUCAGAUGUGAAAUCCCCGAGCUCAACUUGGGACGUGCAUUUGAAACUGUGUAACUAGAGUGUGUCAGAGGGAGGUAGGAUUCCACGUGUAGCAGUGAAAUGCGUAGAGAUGUGGAGGAAUACCGAUGGCGAAGGCAGCCUCCUGGGAUAACACUGACGUUCAUGUUCGAAAGCGUGGGUAGCAAACAGGAUUAGAUACCCUGGUAGUCCACGCCCUAAACGAUGACAAUUAGCUGUUGGGGUACUAGUUACCUUAGUAGCGAAGUAACGCGUGAAAUUGUCCGCCUGGGGAGUACGGUCGCAAGAUUA
rnacentral:rRNA from 1 species